rnacentral:rRNA from 1 species
UUCCGGUUGAUCCCGCCGGACCCGACUGCUAUUUGGGUGAGGAUAAGCCAUGCGAGUCGAAUGGGAUACCUUAAAUUUCCCAUGGCGAACUGCUCAAUAACACAUGAUCAACUUGCCCUAUAGAGAAAAAUAACCUCGGGAAACUGAGGAUAAUGUUUCAUAGUUGAAAAGGCUUGGAAAAGUUUUUCAACCAAAGGGAUAAAAAAAAUGGUUUUUAUCCGCUAUAGGAUAGGAUCGUGCUCGAUUAUGGUCGUUGGUGAGGUAACGGCUCACCAAGCCGAUAAUCGAUAGGGGCCGUGAGAGCGGGAGCCCCGAGAUGGGUACUGAGACAGCGACCCAGGCCUUACGAGGCGCAGCAGGCGCGGAACCUCCGCAAUACACGAAAGUGUGACGGGGUUACCCAAAGUGUUCAUUUAUGGACUGUGGUAGGUGAGUAAUGUCCCCUACUAGAAAGGAGAGGGCAAGGCUGGUGCCAGCCGCCGCGGUAAAACCAGCUCUUCAAGUGGUCGGGAUAAUUAUUGGGCUUAAAGUGUCCGUAGCCGGUUUAGUAAGUUCCUGGUAAAAUCAGGUAGCCUAACUAUCUGCAUGCUAGGAAUACUGCUAUACUAGAGGGCGGGAGAGGUCUGAGGUACUACAGGGGUAGGGGUGAAAUCUUAUAAUCCUUGUAGGACCACCAGUGGCGAAGGCGUCAGACUGGAACGUGCCUGACGGUGAGGGACGAAAGCCAGGGGAGCGAACCGGAUUAGAUACCCGGGUAGUCCUGGCCGUAAACGAUGCAUACUAGGUGAUGGCAUGGCCAUGAGCCAUGUCAGUGCCGUAGGGAAACCGUUAAGUGUGCCGCCUGGGAAGUACGGUCGCAAGGCUAAAACUUAAAGGAAUUGGCGGGGGAGCACCACAAGGGGUGAAGCCUGCGGUUCAAUUGGAUUCAACGCCGGG